rnacentral:rRNA from 1 species
AGUCGAACGCAGUAGCAAUACUGAGUGGCAAACGGGUGAGUAUAAUGUGGGUAUCUGCCUUUUGGUUUGGAAUAACAUGAGGAAACUUGUGCUAAUACCGGAUAAGCCUUCACAGGGAAAGUUUUAUACGCCGAAAGAUGAGCCCGCACUUGAUUAGUUUGUUGGUGAGGUAAUGGCUCACCAAGACAAUUAUCAAUAGCUGGUCUGAGAGGACGAUCAGCCACAUUGGGACUGAGACACGGCCCAGACUCCUACGGGAGGCAGCAGUAAGGAAUCUUGCACAAUGGGGGAAACCCUGAUGCAGCGAUGCCGCGUGAGUGAAGAAGGCCCUUGGGUUGUAAAACUCUUUCGUCGGGGAAGAAAAUGACUGUACCCGAAUAAGAAGGUCCGGCUAACUUCGUGCCAGCAGCCGCGGUAAUACGAAGGGACCUAGCGUAGUUCGGAAUUACUGGGCUUAAAGAGCUCGUAGGUGGUUAAAAAAGUUGAUGGUGAAAUCCCAAGGCUCAACCUUGGAACUGCCAUCAAAACUUUUUAGCUAGAGUGUGAUAGAGG